CAAUAAGCGGAGGAAAAGAAACCAACAGGGAUUGCCCCAGUAACGGCGAGUGAAGCGGCAAGAGCUCAAAUUUGAAAUCUGGCCUCCCCCGGGGGCCCGAGUUGUAAUUUGCAGAGGAUGCUUCGGGUGCGGCCGCCGUCUAAGUUCCUUGGAACAGGACGUCAGAGAGGGUGAGAAUCCCGUCUUGGGCGGGCGGACCGCGCCCGUGUGAAGCUCCUUCGACGAGUCGAGUUGUUUGGGAAUGCAGCUCUAAGCGGGUGGUAAAUUUCAUCUAAAGCUAAAUACUGGCCGGAGACCGAUAGCGCACAAGUAGAGUGAUCGAAAGGUUAAAAGCACCUUGAAAAGGGAGUUAAACAGCACGUGAAAUUGUUGAAAGGGAAGCGCUUGCGGCCAGACUCGGGGGCGGGGUUCAGCGGGUGCUCGUCGCCCGUGUACUCCCCGUCUCCCGGGCCAGCAUCAGUUUCGACGGCCGGUCAAAGGCCCCCGGAAUGUGUCGUCUCUCGGGACGUCUUAUAGCCGGGGGUGCAAUGCGGCCCGUCGGGACUGAGGAACGCGCUCCGGCUCGGAUGCUGGCGUAAUGGCCGUAAGCGGCCCGUCUUGAAACAC
rnacentral:rRNA from 1 species